rnacentral:rRNA from 1 species
AAAACUCUAAGCGGUGGAUCACUCGGCUCAUGGGUCGAUGAAGAACGCAGCAAACUGUGCGUCAUCGUGUGAACUGCAGGACACAUGAACAUCGACAUUUUGAACGCAUAUCGCAGUCCAUGCUGUUAUGUACUUUAAUUAAUUUUAUAGUGCUGCUUGGACUACAUAUGGUUGAGGGUUGUAAGACUAUGCUAAUUAAGUUGUUUAUAAAUUUUAUAAGCAUAUGGUAUAUUAUUGGAUAAAAUAAUAAUAUUUUUAUUCAUAAUAUUAAAAAAUAUAUAUGAAAAACAUUAUCUCACAUUUGGAUGUGAAAAACGAAGAGAAAUAUUUUCUUUUUCAAUCAAGUAAUACUGAGAAAUGUCUAGCAUAAAAAAUUGAAUUAUUUUUCAUCUAGAAUUGUCUCUUAUUAAUGAUUCGGAAAUAGAAAAAACUUGGUUAUGUUAUUAUUCUUCGUUGGUUCGUUUAAUGGAAAACACUUUGCUACAAGAAAUAAUGGAAAUUUUAUAACGAAUUUAAUAAAAUGUUUUUAUCAUUAUAUAUAAAGAAUUAAUGGCAAGAAAAAGUUAUAUACAACCUCAACUCAUAUGGGACUACCCCCUGAAUUUAAGCAUAUUAAUUAGGGGAGGAAAAGAAACUAACAAGGAUUUUCUUAGUAGCGGCGAGCGAAAAGAAAACAGUUCAGCACUAAGUCACUUUGUCUAUAUGGCAAAUGUGAGAUGCAGUGUAUGGAGCGUCAAUAUUCUAGUAUGAGAAAUUAACGAUUUAAGUCCUUCUUAAAUGAGGCCAUUUACCCAUAGAGGGUGCCAGGCCCGUAUAACGUUAAUGAUUACUAGAUGAUGUUUCCAAAGAGUCGUGUUGCUUGAUAGUGCAGCACUAAGUGGGUGGUAAACUCCAUCUAAAACUAAAUAUAACCAUGAGACCGAUAGUAAACAAGUACCGUGAGGGAAAGUUGAAAAGAACUCUGAAUAGAGAGUUAAACAGUACGUGAAACUGCUUAGAGGUUAAGCCCGAUGAACCUGAAUAUCCGUUAUGGAAAAUUCAUCAUUAAAAUUGUAAUAUUUAAAUAAUAUUAUGAGGAUAGUGUGCAUUUUUUCCAUAUAAGGACAUUGUAAUCUAUUAGCAUAUACCAAAUUUAUCAUAAAAUAUAACUUAUAGUUUAUUCCAAUUAAAUUGCUUGCAUUUUAACACAGAAUAAAUGUUAUUAAUUUGAUAAAGUGCUGAUAGAUUAAUAUGAUUACAGUGCGUUAAUUUUUCGGAAUUAUAUAAUGGCAUAAUUAUCAUUGAUUUUUGUGUUUAUUAUAUGCACUUGUAUGAUUAACAAUGCGAAAGAUUCAGGAUACCUUCGGGACCCGUCUUGAAACACGGACCAAGGAGUCUAACAUAUGUGCAAGUUAUUGGGAUAUAAACCUAAUAGCGUAAUUAACUUGACUAAUAAUGGGAUUAGUUUUUUAACUAUUUAUAGCUAAUUAACACAAUCCCGGGGCGUUCUAUAUAGUUAUGUAUAAUGUAUAUUUAUAUUAUUUAUGCCUCUAACUGGAACGUACCUUGAGCAUAUAUGCUGUGACCCGAAAGAUGGUGAACUAUACUUGAUCAGGUUGAAGUCAGGGGAAACCCUGAUGGAAGACCGAAACAGUUCUGACGUGCAAAUCGAUUGUCAGAAUUGAGUAUAGGGGCGAAAGACCAAUCGAACCAUCUAGUAGCUGGUUCCUUCCGAAGUUUCCCUCAGGAUAGCUGGUGCAUUUUAAUAUUAUAUAAAAUAAUCUUAUCUGGUAAAGCGAAUGAUUAGAGGCCUUAGGGUCGAAACGAUCUUAACCUAUUCUCAAACUUUAAAUGGGUAAGAACCUUAACUUUCUUGAUAUGAAGUUCAAGGUUAUGAUAUAAUGUGCCCAGUGGGCCACUUUUGGUAAGCAGAACUGGCGCUGUGGGAUGAACCAAACGUAAUGUUACGGUGCCCAAAUUAACAACUCAUGCAGAUACCAUGAAAGGCGUUGGUUGCUUAAAACAGCAGGACGGUGAUCAUGGAAGUCGAAAUCCGCUAAGGAGUGUGUAACAACUCACCUGCCGAAGCAACUAGCCCUUAAAAUGGAUGGCGCUUAAGUUGUAUACCUAUACAUUACCGCUAAAGUAGAUGAUUUAUAUUACUUGUGAUAUAAAUUUUGAAACUUUAGUGAGUAGGAAGGUACAAUGGUAUGCGUAGAAGUGUUUGGCGUAAGCCUGCAUGGAGCUGCCAUUGGUACAGAUCUUGGUGGUAGUAGCAAAUAAUCGAAUGAGACCUUGGAGGACUGAAGUGGAGAAGGGUUUCGUGUGAACAGUGGUUGAUCACGAGUUAGUCGGUCCUAAGUUCAAGGCGAAAGCCGAAAAUUUUCAAGUAAAACAAAAAUGCCAAAUUAUAUAAACAAAGCGAAAAUAAUACACUUGAAUAAUUUUGAACGAAAGGGAAUACGGUUCCAAUUCCGUAACCUGUUGAGUAUCCGUUUGUUAUUAAAUAUGGGCCUCGUGCUCAUCCUGGCAACAGGAACGACCAUAAAGAAGCCGUCGAGAGAUAUCGGAAGAGUUUUCUUUUCUGUUUUAUAGCCGUACUACCAUGGAAGUCUUUCGCAGAGAGAUAUGGUAGAUGGGCUAGAAGAGCAUGACAUAUACUGUUGUGUCGAUAUUUUCUCCUCGGACCUUGAAAAUUUAUGGUGGGGACACGCAAACUUCUCAACAGGCCGUACCAAUAUCCGCAGCUGGUCUCCAAGGUGAAGAGUCUCUAGUCGAUAGAAUAAUGUAGGUAAGGGAAGUCGGCAAAUUAGAUCCGUAACUUCGGGAUAAGGAUUGGCUCUGAAGAUUGAGAUAGUCGGGCUUGAUUGGGAAACAAUAACAUGGUUUAUGUGCUCGUUCUGGGUAAAUAGAGUUUCUAGCAUUUAUGUUAGUUACUUGUUCCCCGGAUAGUUUAGUUACGUAGCCAAUUGUGGAACUUUCUUGCUAAAAUUUUUAAGAAUACUAUUUGGGUUAAACCAAUUAGUUCUUAUUAAUUAUAACGAUUAUCAAUUAACAAUCAAUUCAGAACUGGCACGGACUUGGGGAAUCCGACUGUCUAAUUAAAACAAAGCAUUGUGAUGGCCCUAGCGGGUGUUGACACAAUGUGAUUUCUGCCCAGUGCUCUGAAUGUCAAAGUGAAGAAAUUCAAGUAAGCGCGGGUCAACGGCGGGAGUAACUAUGACUCUCUUAAGGUAGCCAAAUGCCUCGUCAUCUAAUUAGUCAGUCACUUCCUAACUCUCGUCGAGUGCAGACGUGCCUACGGAUAAAGUGUUUAUUCUCUGAGUGAUUUUCGCUGUGAAAAAGUAAACCUGGAAUCUUCAAAAACGUACAGAAAGUUGGCCCAAGACCUGAAGUGCGUGUGAUACGCGAACGCAAGUUCAUGCAACGUGUGCUUUGGCUGCAGAUGGUAUUUAACUUAUUUGCAAAAGUGCACGUGUUUAGCAAAUCAGCUGUCUGGUGUCACCAGUCGUCGCCUACUCAGCUGGUGGAACAGCUGUUCCAGUGGUGUGUGUACUGGCUAAAUUGAACCCGAUAACCACAACCAGUUUCGAAAUAGGUGGCGCCUCUACCCCUAUAGUAAAAAAUUUCUCCGCCAGAGGGCGUUAAUCAGUCCCAUAAAGCGCCACCAGGUGGCGCUCUUUGCUCCCCCCUUCUGUGCCUGACAAUUAACACUCACUCGUACAGAAAGGCAAAAUCUGAAAGACACGUGCUACUGCACGCAGUUACCAUGGGCAAAAACGAUAUGGAAGUGGAUAAUGUGGCUCUGCCCACUUCUAAGAAAAAUGGUUGGCAAACGCUGGUGCCUAAGAAGAAUGCAGGCAAGCGCAAGGAGCCACCUAAUCUAGCUACGACCGUAAACCCCAAAGUACCCAAGGUACUAAAACCCAUGAAG